GCUGCAAGUCGAACGGUUAACAGGCAACUCUGUAAUAUGGCGAAAGGGUGAGGAACGCGUGAUAACCUGCCUUCAAGUCGGGAAUACCCCGGGAAACUGGGAUUAACACCGGAUGUGGUUAUAGGAUCGCAUGAUCUUAUUACUAAAAAUUUAUUGCUUGAAGAGGGGCUCGCGUCCCAUUAGCUAGUUGGUGAGGUAACGGCCCACCAAGGCUGUGAUGGGUAGCUGGUCUGAGAGGACGACCAGCCACACUGGGACUGAGACACUGCCCAGACUCCUACGGGAGGCUGCAGUCGAGAAUCUUCCGCAAUGCGCGAAAGCGUGACGGAGCAAUGCCGCGUGCAGGAUGAAGGCCUUCGGGUCGUAAACUGCUGUCAUCAGGGAAGAAAAAAAUGACGGUACCUGAAGGAGGAAGUCACGGCUAACUACGUGCCAGCAGCCGCGGUAAUACGUAGGUGACGAGCGUUGUUCGGAUUUACUGGGCGUAAGGGUCUGUAGGGGCUGAAUAAGUCUGAUGUGAAAUCCCGGAGCUUAACUCCGGAACUGCAUUGGAAACUGUUUGGCUUGAGCAUCAGAGAGGAGAAUGGAAUUCCAGGUGUAGCGGUGGAAUGCGUAGAUAUCUGGAGGAACACCAAAAGCGAAGGCAGUUCUCUGGCUGAUUGCUGACCCUGAGGGACGAAAGCAUGGGGAGCAAACAGGAUUAGAUACCCUGGUAGUCCAUGCCCUAAACGGUGUGAACUUGAUGUAGGAGGAUUUAUCCCCUCCUGUGUCGAAGCUAACGCGAUAAGUUCACCGCCUGGGAACUACGGCCGCAAGGCUAAAACUCAAAGGAAUUGACGGGGGCCCGCACAAGCGGUGGAGCAUGUGGCUUAAUUCGAGGCAACGCGAAGAACCUUACCUGGGUUUGACAUGUAUUGGACAGCUGUAGAAAUACAGUCUCCCGCAAGGGUCGAUACACAGGUGCUGCAUGGCUGUCGUCAGCUCGUGCCGUGAGGUGUUCGGUUAAGUCCGGCAACGAGCGCAACCCGCAUCAUUAGUUGCUACCAAGUAAUGUUGGGCACUCUAAUGAGACUGCCUGUGUUAAGCAGGAGGAAGGCGCGGAUGACGCCAAGUCAGUAUGGCCUUUAUACCCAGGGCUGCACACGUGCUACAAUGGGCGGCACAGAGGGAAGCAAAGUCGUGAGGCGGAGCAAAUCCUGAAAACCGUCCCUAGUUCAGAUUGGAGUCUGCAACUCGACUCCAUGAAGCCGGAAUCGCUAGUAAAGGCGUAUCAGUACGACGCCUUGAUACGUUCCCGGGCCUUGUACACACCGCCCGUCACAUCAUGGGAGCUGAUGCACCCGAAGUCGCUGACUCAAC
rnacentral:rRNA from 1 species